AGCCUAUGAUGGUGUAAGAGUAGUGGACAGAAGGGAUUUCUGAAAACACCCAAUUAUCUGAGGCU